rnacentral:rRNA from 1 species
CUUAACACAUGCAAGUCGAACGAGAAUCUGCGGAAAGAGGAUUCGUCCAAUUGAAGCAGAGGACAGUGGCGGACGGGUGAGUAACGCGUGAGGAACCUGCCUUUCAGAGGGGGACAACAGUUGGAAACGACUGCUAAUACCGCAUGACACAUUAGGGUCGCAUGGCCCUGAUGUCAAAGAUUUAUCGCUGAAAGAUGGCCUCGCGUCUGAUUAGCUAGUUGGUGAGGUAACGGCCCACCAAGGCGACGAUCAGUAGCCGGACUGAGAGGUUGAACGGCCACAUUGGGACUGAGAUACGGCCCAGACUCCUACGGGAGGCAGCAGUGGGGAAUAUUGGGCAAUGGGCGCAAGCCUGACCCAGCAACGCCGCGUGAAGGAAGAAGGCUUUCGGGUUGUAAACUUCUUUUGUCAGGGACGAGUAGAAGACGGUACCUGACGAAUAAGCCACGGCUAACUACGUGCCAGCAGCCGCGGUAAUACGUGGGUGGCAAGCGUUGUCCGGAUUUACUGGGUGUAAAGGGCGUGUAGCCGGGAGGGCAAGUCAGAUGUGAAUCCACGGGCUUAACUCGUGAACUGCAUUUGAAACUGUUCUUCUUGAGUAUCGGAGAGGCAAUCGGAAUUCCUAGUGUAGCGGUGAAAUGCGUAGAUAUUAGGAGGAACACCAGUGGCGAAGGCGGAUU